rnacentral:lncRNA from 1 species
CCUCUCCCGAGCUGGGAUGUGUCCUGGAUACUGAUGCUGUUGUUCGCAGCAGGCCAAGGGGUCACCAUCAUAGCCCUCAGCAUAGUGAUCUGGAGGCAUCAGAGGGCCCAGGGGACUCAGGACAGAGAACCCUCGAUUCCCCAUUUCAAGCCUGAAGUUCAGGUCUAUGAGAACAUCCACUUGGCCCGCCUUAGCCCACCCACCCACAAGACCAGGUGAUCUCGGAGAAACUUGCCUCUGGAAGCCUGACCAACAGUCCCCUGUCUCUGGCACCUGGUCCCUGAAGAAUUCCCUGGAAACCUUGGUGAAGGGGUGUGACUGAGGGUGCGACUCCUACUAGGCUUCCAACAGCCACCAGGCUGGAGGGGCCAGGUCAACAUAAGGAAGGGAGUAACAUCAUUCUGUGACGUCACCUAC